CCCUUAGAUGUUCUGGGCCGCACGCGUGCUACACUGAUGCAUUCAACGAGUCUAAAACCUGGUCUGAUAGGGCUGGGUAAUCUUUUGAAAGUGCAUCGUGAUUGGGAUAGAUGAUUGCAAUUCUUCAUCUUCAACGAGGAAUGCCUAGUAAACGCAAGUCAUCAGCUUGCAUUGAUUACGUCCCUGCCCUUUGUACACACCGCCCGUCGCUCCUACCGAUUGAAUGAUCCGAUGAAUACCAUGGAUUGAGAGUACGAAUAGGUUCGCUUAUUUCUGCUGCUCGAGAAGUGGAGUAAAUCUUNUNAUUUAGNGGAAGGAGAANUCGUANCA
rnacentral:rRNA from 1 species